rnacentral:tRNA from 1 species
UGAUAAUUAGUUUAAAUUAAAACAAAUGAUUUCGACUCAUUAAACUGUAGUUUA